UGUGAUGAUCCGGCCGAUGCAACUUAUAUUCCAGAGGAGGAGAGUACGGAUACUUCGGACAGUUCAACGGGUUCUCCACAUUUUGGAUUCCUAGCGGGCACGUCCAAUCCAGAUGCUCCACGGACUAUACAAGAAGCACUGAGUGGUCCAGACGCUGACAAUUGGAGGGAAGCAAUGUCUUAGACCCACUGGAAAGCAGCCAAAAGAGUCUUGCGCUACUUGAAAGGUACCUUGGAUCUCCGUUUGACUUUUAAGAAAAGCAAGCAGCAGCUGGAUAUCACUGGAUAUGCGGAUGCAGACUGGGGCAGUGACGACGUAGACCGCCGGUCGUACACGGGCUACGUCUUUAAAAUAGAAUCAUAUAUGCUCGAGCAACAGCUGUCAGGUCAAAGAUUAAGUCACAAAUAAAUAUCCCAAUCACGUAAAAGGAAACGGUGACACAGUUCAGACCCACCUACAUCAAGACAGUCGCAUUUACUGGAUCAUGAUUAUUGUAAAAAAAACAAGAGCAGCUUCCAAUCACCUAAAAGAAAAAAGUUAUCUGCUGCAG